CUCCCUCCACCUAAUAGCAUAUUCACGAAAAAUUUCGGUGGCCUUCUUCCUCAUGUUGACAAGUGAAGUACGAUCUGGAACUAUGUCAAUGUUAUAUUGAAAUUGUUGAACAAAACAUCGAGCCAAAUCAUCCCAUGUAUGCCAGUUAGAAGUAUCUUGGUCUAUGAACCAUUCUGAGGCAAUUCCCAUCAAACUUUCCCCAAAAUAAGCCAUGAGCAAUUCUU
rnacentral:lncRNA from 1 species